CGGCGGCUGCAUGAUGCUGAAGGGACAUCAAUCCUCCCCGACGGCAGCGUUAGCAAGGACCAGGAGGAGGAGGAGGGCCGGAGAGGAGGGGACGGCCCAGCGAGCGCGCGCGUGUGUGAAAGGAGCGCUUAAGAAGCAGGACUUGCCCCGGAGGGAGCAGGCCAGCGGGCGGCAGGCGGACCCCAGCCAGAGAGCGAGUGUGAGGAGAAGAGGGAGGAGCACCGGGAAGGCUUGGGGCCCGGGCGGCCCGGGCGGCCUGGGGGUGUGUGAGGAAGGAGGCGGAGACGGCGAGGGGGCGGCCCGGCCCUCGCUGGGCCUAACGCCCC
rnacentral:lncRNA from 1 species